UCAGUACGGAGUAGAUGGGUUGGACAAAAUCGAAACGAGAGACAAGAAAUAAUAAAUGAUAAGCGGAGCGAAGCAAAACACAAACUUGGUAAAGUAUUUUAAGCUAGCUACAGUUUGAUAAUUAGGGGAAAGGCCUGACGUGUUGCAUAUUUUUGUAACCCUGUAAAAUAGGAAGGUGAGCCUUGUUUGGAGUGGCUUUCUGUUGGUAAUUAAUGCAAGUUAACUUAACGUUAGUUGGCACGACGCCGUAACCAAGCGUGGACUGUUGCUAGCUGUUAGCUUUCACCCUCACAAGAGACCGAGUGUGUGGGGAAACACAUUUUGCAUCAAGUUUCUGAUGUCCUUCUGAUGCUGCCCCACACUGCUACAGCUACAGUGUCAGGACUGAAUUCCCGCUGCAUGCGAGGAGGAGCCAGCUUGCUUGCUGCACCACUGGACCGAGUGUUUGCAAGACUGUUCGCUAACAGCUUCCUGAUUUUACAAGGAACAAUGAAAGUGUCACAUUUAAAUGAACGGUAAAUAUUUCCAAGGCCUUCAGAUGAAUGACCGCUCUGGUAAUGGGCAUCCCAUCGGCUGCCCCCUCCCCUCCCUGAAGGAACAUCCAUUCAUCCCGCUGCCUCAGCAGAGCUAAGGCAAUCAUCAAAGACUGCUCCCAUCCUGCCUACCCCUUGUUUGACCUGCUGCACUCUGGCAGGCGCUACAGGUCAAUCAGGACCAGGACAAUUAGACUCAGGAACAGCUUCUUUCCAGGAGCCAUCACCACACUGAACACACACACUCACACUUUGUCAGUUGUAACUGAGAUUGGGUCUGG